AAUAAUUAUGAAUCAAUUACAAUAUAUCUAAAUAGAAUUGCAGUGUGUGCUACUAUAGUGAAAAUACAUGAAUAGUAAAAUCUAGGUCACUUACUAAAAACAGCUGAUCUGUCUGCUAUCUAAUUUGAAACUGACUAUACUUUUCUCUAAACGUUUAAAAGAUCAAGUUAAUCAAUACACCUAAAAAUAGUACGUGUGUACACAAAAUGAAAGUAACCAAAAUGGCCAUAAAGUUGACAAGUUCUGUUUGGGAUAAUUCUAACAUUAUAAA
rnacentral:lncRNA from 1 species